UAUAAUGUAAUUAUAAAGCUAUAAGUUUUAUUUUAUGUCUUAUUUAAAACCUUUAUUAAAUUUAGUAUAGGAGGAUAGGAAAUUUUAUUAAAGCUUUUAAAUAUAAAGUUCCUGAAAGGGGAGAAAAUAAGUUAAAAUAAAGUAGAAAUUAAUAUUCGUACCUUUUGCAUCAUGGCCUAGCUAGAUUUAUAUUUUUAAAAAAAUACCUCGAAAUCUAAUGGGCUAUUUUAAAUCUUUAUAGUAGAAAAUAAAAGAUAGUUGUGGUAAAAACUUCUUAAGAAUUUAAAAUAGAAAUGAAAUUUUAUCCGUAUUAGAUGAUAGCUAGUUCUUUAUCAAAAGCAUAGAAGUGCUAAAAAUUAAAAGUCAGUAAGAGCAUUCUUACUUUUAAUGAUUUUAAUUUUUGGAAGUUUGUGAGGAUAAGCUCGUAAACAAAUUUAAUUGGAAUAUAGAUUGUUUUUAUCAGAUUUAAGCUUGAAAAUAGCUAUAAUAAAGAUUUUGUUAUAAUUUUAUACUACCCAUAAAAAUACAAUUAAUUUAUUUUAAUCAUAAUAAAGAAAGUUUAUGAAUCAUUUUUAGACUAAUAUUAUGCUAAGAUGAGUAUUUAUAAUUCUAUAUAAAUUUAUAAUAUCAAAUUUAAGUGCCAGAUUUAUUGUANUUACUUUAAAAAAAUUAUAGGAAGGCAUCUCGGCACACCCAUCUAUUCUGCCUGUUCAUCAAAAACAUAGCUCCUUGAAAUAUAGAAUAUAGGGAGUCGAGCCUGCCCGGUGAAUAUUUUUAACGGCCGCGGUACCCUGACCGUGCAAAGGUAGCAUAAUAAUUUGCCCUAUAAUUGAGGGCUGGAAUGAAUGGUUUGACAAGAAUAAGUCUGUCUCCCUAUAAUUUUAUAAAAUUUAAUUUUGAGGUGAAGAAGCCUAAAUUUCAUUAAAAGACAAGAAGACCCUAUCGAGCUUGAAAAAAAUUAAUAGAUGUUAAACGAUUUAUAAAAAGUGUAAUAUUAAAUAUUUUGGUUGGGGCGACUGAGGAACAUAAAAAGCUUCUUUAAAUAAUUAACUAUUAAUUAAUUUUGAUCCAAAAAUUCUGACUAAAAAAAUUAGUUACCGUAGGGAUAACAGCAUUAUCUUUUUUAAGAGCCCUUAUCGAAAAAAAGGUUUGUGACCUCGAUGUUGGACCAGAAUAUCCUAAAGAUGCAGAAGUCUUUAAGGGUUGGUCUGUUCGACCAUUAAAAUUCUACGUGAUCUGAGUUCAGACCGGCGUGAGCCAGGUCAGUUUCUAUCUUUA
rnacentral:rRNA from 1 species